GAUGAAGAACGUAGCGAAAUGCGAUAAGUAGUGUGAAUUGCAGAAUUCAGUGAAUCAUCGAAUCUUUGAACGCACAUUGCGCCCCUUGGUAUCCCGAGGGGCAUGCCUGUUCGAGCGUCAUUUCACCACUCAAGCCUGGCUUGGUGUUGGGCGACGUCCUCUUUGGGGACGCGCCUCGAAACGCUCGGCGGCGUGGCACCGGCUUUAAGCGUAGCAGAAUCUUUCGCUUUGGAAGUCGGGGCCCCGUCUGCCGGAAGACCUGCUCGCAAGGUUGACCUCGGAUCAGGCAGGGAUACCCGCUGAACUUAAGAAUAUCAAUAAGCGGAGGA
rnacentral:misc_RNA from 1 species